CUGAUAAGGCGCAUUGUGACCCAGAAGAAAACUGAAAAUGACCAAGGAGUCAGAGGAUCUCUGUAGGCUCCAUGCACUCAAGCUGAAACUGUCAGCUCUCUGACUCAUUUCAGAUCGUGGGCCCUGGACACACUGGAGCUGUGGCACACAGUGGUGCUUGAUGAAAUGUCCACAAAGAAGAAAGAAAAGAAGAAAGUCUCAACAAAGUACAGCACUACAGGAUGCAAAUAUCCAAGCCUUGCCUCUUCUCC